rnacentral:rRNA from 1 species
GAUGAACGCUGGCGGCGUGCCUAAUACAUGCAAGUCGAGCGAACAGACGAGGAGCUUGCUCCUCUGACGUUAGCGGCGGACGGGUGAGUACACGUGGAUAACCUACCUAUAAGACUGGGAUAACUUCGGGAAACCGGAUCUAAUACCGGAUAAUAUAUUGAACCGCAUGGUUCAAUAGUGAAAGACGGUUUUGCUGUCACUUAUAGAUGGAUCCGCGCCGCAUUAGCUAGUUGGUAAGGUAACGGCUUACCAAGGCAACGAUGCGUAGCCGACCUGAGAGGGUGAUCGGCCACACUGGAACUGAGACACGGUCCAGACUCCUACGGGAGGCAGCAGUAGGGAAUCUUCCGCAAUGGGCGAAAGCUUGACGGAGCAACGCCGCGUGAGUGAUGAAGGUCUUCGGAUCGUAAAACUCUGUUAUUAGGGAAGAACAAAUGUGUAAGUAAAUAUGCACGUCUUGACGGUACCUAAUCAGAAAGCCACGGCUAACUACGUG